rnacentral:tRNA from 1 species
GGAGAGGUGUCAGAGUGGCCGAAUGAGCUGGUUUCGAAAACCAGUGUGCACGCGAGUGUACCGGGGGUUCGAAUCCCCCCCUCUCCGCCA